rnacentral:tRNA from 1 species
GCCUUCGUGGUGUAGUGGUCAGCACACUGAGCCGGUAUUUCAGAGGUCCGAGGUUCGAUUCCCGGCGAAGGCG